CCCUGAGGCGCUGCGCGAGGCCCCGGCCCGGCCCGGCCCGCGGGCGCCAUCUUCUCACCUCAGGCGCCGCGGGGGGCCCGUGCGAGGCGGGGAGCGAGCCGAGGAGCGAGCCGAGGUUGUGGCGCAUUCUGAAGUUGCGUUGGCUCUUCGCUCGUUUUUCCCCUUGUGAACACCUCAAAACAAAUAAAAAAACAACGGCCAAAGGUUUAAAACAGUUGAAACUGUUAUGUUUUCUCUGGCAAUGACUCAUCCAUCUGUAACUAGAGCAAAAAUUCCAGGCAGGUACAGUGUCUCCUCCCCAAGAGAAAGUAAAGGAAGUACUCGGUGCCAUCGUUCUUCCAGAAGGCUGAUCAUCCGAGUUUGGUGACCCGGACCACCAGAGCUAAGUGCCGGGGAGCUUCCCGACGCGAGGAGGUAGGCGAGGGAGCCCCGAUACGCCUCGUCUGCGGGCUGCAGGAUGGCGACGAGAGGAAAUCCCGGGCAUCCGCACCCCUGCCGAGCUGAGGCUGCACACCGGGCUCCUCGGAAGGCUGCGCCCAGGAGCAGAUGGGGACAGACGGGUUACGUGACAUGCUCAGGAUCACAUGAGCAGUCUGUGUCAAGAGUGAGAAACUGCACCUGGAUCUCUCAGUUGUGAGGCUGCUGCUCUGGCACCGCGUCAUCCUGACUGCAAACACAACACCGGGAUUGACUUUGCCUAUGUCCUUCCUAUGGCUACCAAUGUGCCCACCUGCUGACUGCAGAGCCAGUACUCUGCACCGUGUGCCCAAAGCAAGCCUGGAAUUUCCUUGCGAGGUCCGAAACCUUCAGCAUCGUGGCCAGAGAGACUAAUAGGGGGAUUUUAAGGCUUUAAGUCUGCAGUGACCCAGUCCAGUGGAUCCUUUUGAAGCAUAUGAGAAGACUUUCAACAGUGAUGCACAGAAAAGCAAAUAGGACGUUGGUGUAGUGACAACCCUGCUGUGGCUCCAUGUGCAUCUCUAAUGGAGGAGACACGAUCUCAGGCACAUGCAGCUGAAGUUUGGAUUUCUCUGCACAGCAGACUGAGGUUUCCAGGGUCCCAAGGUACAUGUGAGUACCUGCACACUGGACUGCAGUCCCUCACACACUAAUGAAAUCUGACUUGCUGGGUCACCCUCCUGCUUCAUUUGCAGUGACACAAUAUCAUUUAAAGUUGUUUGCUUAUUACAGAGAUAAUAUCACAAGGUGUGGUGCCCUGAUGGGAGUCUAGCAAGAAAGUAACACUCAUGCACCCUCCCACCUUUGGCAGAUCGUCUGAGGGUCCCUCAUUGGCUUCGUGACGGAAAGUGGUUGAUUCACCUCCACCCAGCGGUAAUUACCUGUUGCUGUCUGCUGGAAGUUCCCAUGUUUGGCACUGGAGUGGUAAGCCUAGAACUCACUGCUGAGAUUAACUGCAAUGUAAAACCAUGAUUUCUUGAUGCCUCUGUUUUAUAUUCAGCCUAGUAAAAGUUGCUUAGUGCAUUAUAUCAUUUACUUGUGAUAUUAUAUAAUCAUUAAAAUAUGCCUAAUUGCUG